UAAUACGUAGGGGGCGAGCGUUAUCCGGAGUUACUGGGCGUAAAGGGCACGCAGGCGGUCGUGUAAGUUUGGGGUUACAGCUCCCGGCUCAACUGGGAGAGCGCCUUGAAGACUGCAGGACUUGAGGGCCACAGAGGGACACAGAAUUCCGGGUGUAGUGGUGAAAUGCGUAGAUAUCCGGAGGAAUACCAAAGGCGAAGGCAGUGUCCUGGGUGGCACCUGACGCUCAGGUGCGAAAGCUAGGGGAGCGAACGGG
rnacentral:rRNA from 1 species